rnacentral:rRNA from 1 species
UACGUAGGGGGCAAGCGUUGUCCGGAAUUAUUGGGCGUAAAGAGCGCGUAGGCGGUCCGAUAAGUCGGCUGUGAAAGUCAGGGGCUCAACCCUUGAAAGCCGGCCGAUACUGUCGGACUAGAGUCCGGAAGAGGCAAGUGGAAUUCCCGGUGUAGCGGUGAAAUGUGCAGAUAUCGGGAGGAACACCAAUGGCGAAGGCAGCUUGCUGGGACGGUACUGACGCUGAGGCGCGAAAGCGUGGGGAGCAAACAGG